UCAUGGGUAUGAUCUCUACUUCUACUGAGCCCUAAUUUGUAGGGCACCUUCCCUGCAACUUCCUAUGCCCCUCAGCAAAACACAAGGGAUGCAAAUGUGCUGAUGUAAAAUGGAUCCAAGCGGAGGAGGAGGCAUUUGAAUUUACCUGCUACUAGCCUAGAACCUGACUGAAGGCUGCACAGGUAUUUGUGAGCAUCAAGUUCUAGAAGCCUUUCCCUCCAGGGGAUCAUUGAAGGAAUUGUAGGUUAUAAAUAGAUGCACUUUGUUUGUGGUCUGUUUCAAUAAGGUCAGGCUUUUUUAUUUUUUUAAGAUAAAAAAAUUUUAAGGUAGUGAAACAACAUUGUUUAGUAGGGACAACACUUUUUCAGAUUCAAUUUGCAACUACAGGG
rnacentral:lncRNA from 12 species